GCAGAGUAGAAAUGCAGGCGUUAAGUGUUCGGCAAACGGGGAGUUGUUGCUGGAACGAAAAACCUCGAAAGGCGGGGUUUGCGGUCUGUAUUUCGCAUCCCGCUG
rnacentral:ncRNA from 1 species